rnacentral:misc_RNA from 1 species
UUAAGUUCAGCGGGUCUUCCUGCCUGAUUUGAGACCAUGGUUCAAGUUGAAUCCCGAAAGAUCCAACUUUAAUAGUUGAGUGCCGGACAAACACCAUCACCCGUACUUGGUAUUAGAGAAACCGAGGUUCCAUACACAUACUUUUCCGUUACUUGACAGUAUCCAGCAGCUAUAGUUUUAAAGGCACGCAGGGUUAGUGC